rnacentral:lncRNA from 1 species
UUUCAGUCAUUACCUAGCAAAAAAGCACAUGCCUUCUUGAUUCUAAAUUAUCCAAUAAUGUUGGCUGGCCCAAGCCCAUGGCAAUUAACCCAGAAUGGCAUUGAUUCCCCGUGAUAGACACACCAAUCCAAUCAGCCAUGACCAUGCGCAAUAGUCGCAUCUACACGUACAUCCAUUCAGUUUCUCUUCUACGCUGUUCCACGAUCUGUUGCCGUCGCUGCCGCCGCCGCACACACCUAGGGCUUAAUCAAGUGUUGCCAUUAGCCUUCAUCUCCACGCUAAGGCACAAGCACAAGCAAUCUUUCCGAAGUACGGAUCCCUCCCUGCCUACACACUGACCAACUAUUAUGACGAGCACAUGGGACAGAGAGGGGAUGGAUUUAUACUCUAUAAGGUUUGUAUUCUGGCAUCCUUGAUUACACACAGUUUAAUUAUAUAUAUAUAUAAUUAAACUGUGUGUAAUCAAGGAUGCCAGAAUACAAACCUUAUAGAGUAUAAAUCCAUCCCCUCUCUGUCCCAUGUGCUCGUCAUAAUAGUUNNNNNNNNNNNNNNNNNNNNNNNNNNNNNNNNNNNNNNNNNNNNNNNNNNNNNNNNNNGGCAGUGAUGGUUUUCCUUUGAAAACUGUAUGAGUACAAGCGAAAUCAAGCCGUUCAGUUAUACGUGCAAAGAUUGGUCAUGUUCAUAUAUCUUAAACAUAAAUAUGACAAUGUUUUGUAACAAGAUAUUUUAUGACAUACUUUGGAGAACUUCAUCUAUCAGCUGCGUAUGUGGAAUUAUUCAACACUAUUAGCUAUACCUAGACAUGCUUUAUGUGUUCCCGCCUAGGCAAAGUAAAAUGUGAGUGAUAUGUCGAUAUAGAAUUUUUUGAGAGUUUGUGAGACAUAACAGGAAUUAGCUUCACCGUCGUCUCGCCCCCCCUAUGUCUAAAUCCUGGCUGCGCCCCUGGGUAGAUCUACAUUUCACAAGCAGCCUCUCUCCGUCGUUCUUCUAGUCACCCGGGACCCGCAUCAUGCUCAGUUUUAGGUAAUUCAUAAUGCUAACACCUCAAGAAGGUAUCCCAUAAAGUGCGAUGAAGGUAGCUCAUGUAUGCGAUGAGUUGAUCAUUGAUUCCGUGACCUGGUGGAGAUGCCCCAAAUCAUUGGCACCUCCAACGAGACUAUUUUCUGAUGUCGCUCAUUUCCAACAUUCAUUCUAAAACAAUCUACAUAGACGGGCCUUUUGUGUCUAUUGUUGUGCAAACCAGGGAAUAUUUGCUUCUUCUAUGUUAGUUUGCACCGUGCUCUCAUCUCUUACUCUAUUCAGCCGUUGGAGGUUACCAUAGUUAUAUAUAGGUGAGAAAAUAUGCACAAAUAAAGACAUACACAGUUUCUCUCUCUUGUCUUGAAAAGAGGAGUAGGUGCGCACACAUUAAUAUAUGGUCUUCUGAUAAUGCUGAAUACAAAAGCAAGUAUUUGAGAUAUUAGUGGUGAUUUUAGCUGAAGAAAAAAUGUAGUCCACAAAAAAUUCAUAGUGAUAUUAAUAAUAUCAAGGGCUUGUGUUGUUCUUCACUACUACUAGCAGAGAUAAGACGAGCCUUUUACACGAGCGCAGGGAAUCGCGCGUCUCCUUGUUUCUGUGACCAGCGUUGAGCAUAUUCCGAACAUCGUCAGAUGGACGUAUGAUGGCAGGGGCUUUGACCUUGAUAUUGAGCUAGAGGAGAGUGAGGAUUUCCACGAGCUGGGUAAGGAGGUUGACAUGGACACGGACGAGGGACAUGGUGAUAAAGGAAACUCGGACAAGGGGAUGGAGCCGAGAGAUGAUUCUGACAGAGGCUCAUUAUCUGCUGACAAACCAUAGGAGAAUGCUAUCAGGAAGCAGUCCCUUGGUUCGUAUUUUUCGCAUCAGUUGAGAUUUGGAUCCUUCGGGUCUUCAUCGGCGCCUGAUGGGGUCAUAGUCCUAGGGUAGGGUCAUAGGCCUGCCAUACAGGUCCUACCAAGGACUACCCCACGCAAAGGACAAGACCCUAAGUCUACCCCGACUGAAUUAAGGAAUCCCCAUUAUCCAGUCGGCAACAGGUCCUCUAUCAUCCAGUCGGAUACUAGCAUUCGGAGAAUACCAAGCUAACCGACUGGAUACGCUCGGUACAUCGUAACCUCCCUGGAAGGAAACGGUCGUACGUUUUCGGGUGCAUUUAUUAGCAUUUAGGGCAUACGUUGCCUGUAACGUAUGCAUUCAAUCCCCACUACUCCGCCCUUAUACCAGAACCGUCGUGGAGGGCAGCGUACUCUAUAUAAGCCGCCCUCCCCCACUGGUAGAAGGGUUAGAAAAUCAUUGUAUUCCAUAUUACACUUGGUAACAAGCUCCGAGAGCACCGAGACGUAGGGCUGUUACCUCCACCACAGAGGGGCCUGAACUCAUACAACCUCGCCGUAGCUAGGACUCUGCCCAUCUCAUUCGUACCCUACACAUCUACUGUCAGGCUUAUACCCACGACAGUUGGCGCCUACCGUGGGGCAGGCGUCUAAGCGACUUCCGGCGAGUUUGCGACUACUUCCUUUCGUCAUGUCGUCCGGUGGAGAUUCGAGCAUGGGUCACCAGAUCUUCUUUGGCGCUCUCUCCUUCACCGUCGACGAUUCGGCGUGGCUUCAGGAGGCACCUCUCGACGUCGAGGCGCUUCCCCGUCGCGGGGCCACGCACUUCCGUGCCGGCGCCCGCGGCGUUCUUCUUCUCCAACAAUCGGCUCCGUUGUCGACUUGCACCUCCAUCAUGCGCCGCAACAAGCGGUCCCGCCGUCCGCGUCUCCUACGUUGGUGCAGCAUGCCCGAGCGUGUCAGAUCGCGUCUUCUCAAGUGGCAGUUCUGGAGUUUGUUGUGGUUGCCCCGCGUUCCCUGCACUCGGGCUCAGUUCCGACUGAGUUUCCUUCCGAGUACGCGGGCCGCGGGCCUGCAGCAGAAGUUCACAUGGCCAACACCCAUGAAGAUCCCCGUCAAGCUGGUCGAAGCGAGCGCGAGGUCGGCGAAGCAUCCGGUGCGCGCCGUCCACCUCGUCGUUCUGCCAGUCGACACACUCGGCGGAGCAACGUAGAGUUGUUCCGCACGCCCCUCCUCAUCUUGGCUGCUGCCGCCAAGAUAGCCGAUUCCCUCCAGCCAACUGAUUCAGAGGCUGGUAGAGGGAUCGAGCAGAUCCGAGCCCUGUUGCACACGGCGCAGCAGCAGAAUUCGGCAGUCUCCCAGUCGCACAACCGGAUCUACAAUAGUUCCGUCCACGCCAACACGCAUCGAUCGAUUCACAGUCCUGGAUCCCAUCAGCGCCACAGGGGAGGCAGUCGUUCCUUGAUUCACGAAGAUCGCCGCCGCUCACGCACCCCUCCGCGGGGUGGGCCCUAUGGGUCCCGACAUCAUGAUGAUCGGCGUUCAGUCGGCGACACUCACGACCCAAGACCCGACGCAAGAGGACGUAUCGCCCAGCGAAGAGUCGACAGGGGUCGAGCCCACCGUGAUGGUUACGAUAUGGACCGUCCGAGUGGAAGCAGGGCCAUCGUGUCCGGUCCCGAGUGUUUUAGUCGAGCCAUCCGCUCGGCUGACAUCCUGCCCAACUUCCGAUUGGCAGCGGGAAUCAGUAAGUUUACAGGAGAGUCCAAGCCAGAAACAUGGCUGGAUGACUACCGAGUGGCAGUCCAGAUCGGAGGCGGAAACGACCAUGUCGCUAUGAAGCACCUCCCUCUGAUGCUCGACGGCUCGGCGCGAGCGUGGCUAAACCAGUUGGCCCGCUCGAGCAUUUACAGUUGGGCAGAUCUGGCCCGAGUAUUCAUCAGGACCUUCGAGGGGACGUGCAAACGCCCUGCAGGCCUUGUGGAGCUCCAACACUGUGUCCAGAAGCCGAAUGAGCCCCUGCGCGACUUCAUCCAACGUUGGACAACUCUCUACCACACGGUGGAGAACGUCACCGAGCAUCAGGCAGUCUGCGCCUUCAAGGUAGGCGUGCGGUACAGAGAGCUGUACUUAAAGUUCGGGCGAACAGGCAACAUCUCCAUGAGCAAGAUGAUGGAGAUAGCGGCGCACUAUGCAAAUGGCGAAGAAGAGGACCGCAUCCGGAGCGGCAAGCACAAGACAGUCGGCGAUGUUGACGGAGGUAACACUCGAAAGCAGAAACAGAAAGCUCCCCCACACCGCAAGCAGAGGCUGCAGCCGUGACCAAUGCUAAGUUCAAGGGCAAAGGGAAGGCGCAGUUUACCCCCAAGAAGAAGCCGUUCAACAAUCCCAUCCUGGACCAGCCUUGUCCGGUGCACACGAAGAUGGACGAAGAAGGCAACCCCAUAUAUGCGAAGCAUACCACUCGACAGUGUCGCCUCCUGAUCCAGGGAUUCAGCGAAGGGCAACCGAGUGAGAAGGACCAUGAACAGGAUGAGGAGGAUAAGGAGGAUCCGUUCCCCCAAGUCCAUGCCACCCUGAUGAUCUUUGCUGACGUCGAGAGCAAGAGCCGAUUGAAGCUGGUGAACCGAGAGCUGAACAUGGCCACCCCUUCCAACCCCAAGUUCCUCAAAUGGUCCCAGACUGCGAUCACCUUCGACCAGUUGGAUCAUCCGGCACAUGUACCCACCCCGGGAAGACAGGCCCUGGUCGUCGACCCGGUGGUAGAAGGAGUCCGACUGCGCAAGGUCCUCAUGGAUGGCGGCAGCGGCUUGAACAUCAUGUACGCCGACACCCUCAAGGGGAUGGGCAUCCCGAUGUCCAGACUCAGCGAGAGCAGCAUGCAGUUCCACGGAGUCGUCCCUGGACGGAAGGCCAAAUCACUCGGCCAGAUCGCGUUGGACGUCGUUUUCGGCUCCGACAAGAACUUCCGCAAGGAAAGGCUGACGUUCGAAGUGGUUGACUUCCAGAGCGCUUAUCACGCAAUUCUGGGUCGCCCAGCGUAUGCACAUUUCAUGGCCCGUCCAUGUUACGUGUACCUGAAGUUGAAGAUGCCGGGCCCGAAAGGCGUGAUCACCAUCACAGGCAAUCGGCAGCGGGCUGAAGAGUGUCUGCAGCAGGGAUCAAGGAUCGCCGACCAGCAGAUGGCCGUCCUCGAGCUGGACGAGUACAAGAAAACAGUCGACCCCGCCGACCUGAUGCGCUCGAAGAAGCCAGCUUCAGAGUCUGCAUUUCAGUCGGCGAGAGAGACGAAGAAGGUCAGCAUCCACCCGACGGACGCCACUGCUGCCCCGAUGAACAUCUCCACCACCCUCGAUCCUAAAUAGGAAGCCGAGCUCACCCAAUUCCUCCGUGAGAACUGGGACAUCUUCGCAUGGAAACCCUCUGACAUGCCAGGUGUACCCAGGGAGUUGGCUGAGUAACGACUGCACGUGGAUUCCACAGCUCGGCCUGUCCGAGAGCGCCUGCGCCGGUCCGCUGCACACAAGAGGAAGGCAAUCGGGGAAGAGGUGGCCAAGCUGUUGGCAGCCAACUUCAUUCGCGAGGUUCACCACUCCGAGUGACUCGCCAAUGUUGUCAUGGUGCCCAAGAAGGACAAGUCGCUCCGAAUGUGCAUCGACUUCAAGCACCUCAAUAAGGUCUGCCCGAAAGACCAUUUUCCGCUCCCCCGCAUAGAUCAAAUUGUCGAUUCGACUGCGGGUUGCGAGCGUCUGUCGUUUCUCGAUGCCUACUCGGGCUAUCAUCAGAUCCGUCUGUAUGGUCCCGAUGAGUUAAAGACGACCUUCAUCACCCCAUUCGGGUGCUUCUGCUACAUCACUAUGCCUUUCGGUCUGAAGAAUGCAGGAGCUACCUUUAUGCGCAUGAUCCAAAAAUGUCUCCUCGACCAGAUCGGUCGCAAUGUGGAGGCAUAUAUGGAUGAUAUCGUAGUCAAGUCACGCAAAGGUUCCGACCUGCUGACUGACUUGGCAGAAACAUUCGCCAACCUUCGUAGGUACGAUAUCAAGCUCAACCCAGCCAAAUGUUCAUUCGGUGUUCCCAGCGGAAAGUUACUCGGUUUCUUCGUUUCCGAAUGAGGGAUCGACGUCAACCCCGAAAAGAUCGGGACCAUCGUCCGAAUGGAAAGGCCGUUCAGAAUACACGAUGUUCAACGGCUCACAGGUUGCCUAGCGGCUUUGAGCAGGUUCAUCAGUCGACUCGAUGAAAAAGCACUUCCUCUGUACCGACUCAUGAAGAAAUCAGAUACCUUCGAGUGGACAGAUGAAGCCCAAGUCGCAUUCGACGACCUCAAAGUCCUACUUUCCACCCAGCCGGUUCUUACUGCUCCGCUCAGUAAAGAGCCCCUUCUUCUAUAUAUUGCGGCUACAAAUCAAGUCGUCAGUACUGUUCUUACAGUCAAGCGAGAAGAAGAAGGCAAAGCAUACAAAGUUCAGCGGCCAGUGUACUACGUCUCCGAAGUCCUGACUCCUUCCAAGCAGAGGUAUCCCAUUAUCAAAAAUUUAUCUAUGGGAUCUAUAUGACUGCGAAGAAGGUGGCUCAUUAUUUCCAAGACCACUCGGUAUCUGUCGUUUCUGAUGCUCUGUUGUCGAAAAUUCUCCACAAUCGAGACGCAUCAGGCCGAGUGGCGAAGUGGGCAAUGGAGAUGCUGUACUGUGACAUCAAGUUCGAGGCCAAGAAAGCUAUUAAGUCUCAAGCCCUGGCUGACUUUAUAGCAGAAUGGGUAGAACAACAGCAACCGACCCACAUCUACUCGGCUCAUUCUACAAUGUUCUUCGAUGGGUCUAAGAUGUUGAAUGGCUCCGGCGCUGGCGUUGUGAUCAUAUCACCAAAGGGCGACAAGCUCAAAUACGUGUUGCAGAUACACUUUGAUUCCUCCAACAACGAGGCAGAGUAUGAGGCUCUCCUCUACGGAUUGCGCAUGGCCAUCUCACUCGGCGUCCGUCGCUUGAUGGUCUACGGCGAUUCGGAUUUGGUGGUAAAUCAAGUGAUGAAAGAGUGGGACGUCAGGAACCCCACCAUGCCCACAUACUGCAAUGCAGUGAGGAAGCUGGAGAAGAAGUUUGAAGGUCUGGAGCUCCACCAUGUUCCAAGACUGAAGAACCAAGCAGCUGACGAGUUAGCAAAACUCGGAUCCACUCGGAGACCAGUCCCGAGUGACGUCUGCCUCGAGCACCUCCACCUCCCCUCAAUCAAAGAAGAUCCUUUCACGGAGGAAUCGAUACAACCCAAGAGCGCAACAGAUCCGACUGAAGUCGAUGUACCCGCGGUGGUUGAUCUGGUCAUGGAGAUUCUGGCUGUCAUUCCCAAUUGGACUGUGCCGAUCAUGGCAUAUAUCCUGAGGCAAGAACAUCCAGAAGACGAAGUUCAAGCCAGGCAGAUAGUCCGCAGAUCAAAGUCAUUUACUGUCAUUGAAGGCCAAUUGUACAAGGAGAGUAUCUCACGCGUUCUUCAACGAUGCAUCUCCCCAGAGGAGGGGCAGUUGAUUCUGGAGGAUAUUCACUCGGGGACCUGCGGUCAUCAUGCUUCUUCGAGGGCAAUAGUAGCCAAGGCAUUCAGGACUGGCUUCUUUUGGCUGCAGGCUAACAAGAUGGCUAAGGAUAUGGUUGAUCGAUGUGAGGGCUGCCAGUUCUACUCCAAUAAGUCCCGCAAGCCAACGUCCGCGUUGAAGACGAUCCCUCUGGUGUGGCCGUUUGCAGUGUGGGGAUUAGAUACAGUCGGCCUGUUCAAGACAGGCCAAGGUGGAUACAAACAUCUGUUGGUGGCAGUCGACAAGUUCACGAAGUGGAUCGAAGCGAAGCCCAUCAAGAAGCUCGACACUUCGACAGCCGUCAAGUUUGUCAGGGACAUCAUCUUCAGAUUCGGUGUACCUCACAGCAUAAUUACGGACAACGGGACAAACUUUGACUCGGACAGAUUCAAAGGGUUCUGUACAAGCCAGGGCAUCCGAGUGGAUUUUGCUUCCAUAGCACAUCCUCAGUCCAAUGGACAAGCAGAGCGGGCAAACGGGCUUAUUUUGCAAGGAUUGAAGCCCCGGCUCCUGCGAGAGAUAGGACAUGCCGCUGGCGCUUGGGUUACCGAGCUACCUUCAGUGCUUUGGGGACAUCGCACAACCCCGAACAGAUCUACAGGGCGGUCACCGUUCUUCCUCUUUUAUGGAGCAGAAGCGGUCCUUCCGAGUGACUUGCUUCACAAUGCACCACGAGUCGAACUUUUCUCCGAAGCCGAAGCAGAACAAGCAAGGCAAGACGGAGUGGAUCUUCUGGAAGAGGAGCGCGAGAUGGCGUUAACUCGCUCGACCAUUUAUCAACAAAAUCCGCGGUGUUUUCAUGCACGCCACGUCAGAAGUCGGACGUUCCAAGCAGGCGACCUGGUGCUCCGAGUGGAUCAACAAAGACCUCACAAGUUGGCUCCGGCCUGGGAAGGACCCUUCAUCAUCUCCAAGGUGCUGAACAAUGGAGCAUACAGACUCGACAACAUCGAAAGAGAGACUGACGAGCUGCGCUCAUGGAACGGAGAUCUCCUGAAGCGCUUCUACACGUGAUCGUCGACUGAAGCGAUGUAAAGAACAAGUGUUGGCGAAAUAAUAUAAAGCAGAUUGAGUUUUUUGCAGGUUCAAAGUUCUUCCGCGGUCGCAGACUCCGGUCUCAAAAAAAAAAACUUAGCUGCGAUCCAGCAUCGCCUAAGUAUUAAUUCUCUCCGAGUGUGCACUUAACGUCACACUCGGGGGCUUAGCUGCGAUCCAGCAUCGCCUAAGUAUUAACUUUCUCCGAGUGUGUACUUAAUGUCACACUCGGGGGCUUAGCUGCGAUCCCGCAUCGCCUAAGUAUUAAUUCUCUCCGAGUGUGCACUUAACGUCAUACUCGGGGGCUUAGCUGCGAUCCAGCAUCGCCUAAGUAUUAACUCUCUCCGAGUGUGCACUUAACGUCCCCCUCGGGGGCUUAGCUGCGAUCCAGCAUCGCCUAAGUAUUAACUCUCUCCGAGUGUGCACUUAACGUCACACUCGGGGGCUUAGCCGCGAUCCCGCAUCGCCUAAGUAUUAAUUCUCUCCGAGUGUGCACUUAACGUCACACUCGGGGGCUUAGCUGUGAUCCAGCAUCGCCUAAGUAUUAACUUUCUCCGAGUGUGCACUUAACGUCACACUCGGGGGCUUAGCUGCGAUCCCGCAUCGCCUAAGUAUUAACUUUCUCCGAGUGUGUACUUAACGUCACACUCGGGGCCUUAGCUGCGAUCCCGCAUCGCCUAAGGAUUAAUUCUCUCCGAGUGUGCACUUAACGUCACCCUCGGAGGCUUAGCUGCGAUCCAGCAUCGCCUAGGUAUUAACUCUCUCCGAGUGUGUACUUAACGUCACACUCGGGGGCUUAGCUGCGAUCCCGCAUCGCCUAAGUAUUAACUUUCUCCGAGUGUGUACUUAACGUCACACUCGGGGUCUUAGCUGCGAUCCCGCAUCGCCUAAGUAUUAACUCUCUCCGAGUGUGCACUUAACGUCACCCUCGGGGGCUUAGCUGCGAUCCAGCAUCGCCUAAGUAUUAACUCUCUCCGAGUGUGUACUUAACGUCACACUCGGGGGCUUAGCUGCGAUCCGGCAUCGCCUAAGUAUUAAUUCUCUCCGAGUGUGCACUCAACGUCACACUCGGGGGCUUAGCUACGAUCCAGCAUCGCCUAAGUAUUAACUCUCUCCGAGUGUGCACUUAACGUCACACUCGGGGGCUUAGCUGCGAUCCAGCAUCGCCUAAGUAUUCACUCUCUCCGAGUGUGCACUUAACGUCACACUCGGGGCUUAGAGGCGAUCCAACAUCGCCUAAGUAUUAACUCUCUCCGAGUGUGCACUUAACGUCACACUCGGGGGCUUAGCUGCGAUCCAGCAUUGCCUAAGUAUUCACUCUCUCCGAGUGUGCACUUAACGUCACACUCGGGGCUUAGUUGCGAUCCAGCAUCGCCUAAGUAUUAACUCUCUCCGAGUGUGCACUUCACGUCACACUCGGGGGCUUAGCUGUGAUCCAGCAUCGCCUAAGUAUUAACCCUCUCUGAAUGUGCACUUAACGUCACACUCGGGGGAUUAGCUGCGAUCCAGCAUCGCCUAAGUAAUAACCUUCUCCGAGUGUGCACUUCACGUCACACUCGGAGGGAGCUUAACAGCGAUCCAGCAUCGGCUGUUUGCCUUUGGCUUCACCAAGAAACGCCAACCAAAAACUCGAAUCAACAUUGCAACAGAAGAGCAAAAAUCGGAUUCCAAAAUUCUCGCAAAGAUAGCUAACUCGGUGCGGAUCAAGCUUACCCGCACCGAUUUAAAAGUGUGACAGCCAACAGAAGUGGCCAAAGUACCUUACAGAUAACACACUCGGCAUACCGAGGAUAAAAGUUUUCUCACGUGUCAGCCGGGCCAGCGCCAGGACUGGAGGGCUCAACAAAGGUGUCCAAGUCAAUUCCAUCGGCGAUGCGGGUAGCGCUCUCAAGGAACGUCUCCAUGAAGUCUUCGAAUCGAAGCUUCUUCGUGUUGGCGACCUUCAGUGUCUUCAGCUUUUCCUCACGCACCUCCUUGCAAUGGACUCGGACCAAUGACAGAGCAACAUCUGCACCGCAACGAGCUGCAGAUUUCUUCCAUGACUGCACUCUGUUGGGAAUCUCCUCUAGUCGGGUCAUCAGCUUCUCCAUCUCCUGCCGCGACUCAUCUUCUGGCCAAAGCUCCUUGUCGAUUCGGCCGACGACUUCUCUCAGUCGACCGAUGAAAGGACCAACUUUGCCCACGCGGAUGUGCGCACGGAGCAGAGCCCGAUUGGCGUCGUCGCCGAGUGGAACGUUUUCAAGAAUCGAACGCUCCACGUCAGCCGCUUCAGCUUCGGCGUCAAAGCAAAAAAACUGCGACUAUAGGACAAACAGACAAUAAGCGCCGAGUGCUAUGCGCAUAGGACAACCACUCAGAAAAAUAAGGACUUACCAGCCAGACGCGUCAUCAUCUGCCGAGCCCAGUCGCUGACAUAUUUCUCUUGUGCUCUACAUCGUUUGUUCAGCACAUCCAUCUGACUCAUCAGCGCAGUCCUCUGCUUCCCCAUCUUUUCCACUUCCUCAGUCAACACCUUGUUCACUUCACGCGCCUGCUCCAAUGAUUUCUCCCGUUCCGCCAGGGCAUCCUUCAUGCCAGCCAUCGCAAGCAUGGCCGAAUCAAGUUCGCCAGCGAACUGAUUCCUCUCCGCCUUGAGAGUCUCAUAGGCUGAUCCCAUUGCACAAGUUUUCUGCCAACAACAAACAAGGGACAAUCAGAAAGUUCAACAGUUAACAGUCUAAGUUCUUCAGACCCCUGCCGACGCAAGCAGUCGACAGCGGUCUCGGGGACUACACCCAGUGGGUUCACUAAGUGUGACCCCACUGGCAUGCACCUCAAGCAGGCCUGUCCUAUUGAGAUGCAUGUUAUCAACUACGCCUCCGCGGCCAAUACUACCCGACCUGAGUACAACUUACUCUCGGGGACUCUUACCGUAAGUGCAAUCCGACUGCAACAACUAUUCGCACUCGGUACUCCUAUCUACAGACACAACCAAACUCAAAGCAACAUGUAUAAAGACAACUGUCGAUGCAAGCACUCGACAGAAGUCUCGGGGACUACACCCACUGGAUUCACUCAGAGUGAACCCAUUGCAAAUAACGUCUACUAUUCAAGAACACCCAGUGGGUUACAGGGGAAAAGUAAAUACUUACUAGACCACUUACUCGGAUAUCAUCGCGCAGCUCCAAGCUCCGCUGGUACAAGGCCGCAAUGGAGUCAUAGGCCCUCUUGGCUUCUCCAGCCAUCAGCUCCGCCUGCACCAUAGCCCCCUUGGCCGCUCCCACCUGCUCCUCCGGAAGACGCUGGAUGCUGAAUUCAGCAUUCGACGAACCUGGAAUAGUCGGAAGUUCCCGAGGCAUCCCAAGGUCCGCCCCAGUCGGCUCCUCCUCCACCGACACUGGUUCAGUCGGUGGUGGCACCUCUGUCGGCAGCACGUCGGCGACGAGAGUGGCAGCGGGAGGAGCAGCCUCAAGAACAGGCUCCACGGCUGGGUCGGCUCUCCCCUGGUCGCCCUCAUCCAGGCAGAUCGCCCCUGACAGGCCGAACGACACGAGGUCUCAGAAAAAGAAAGAAGUGAUGGUAUAAAACACUCGACGUUCCUACAACGCACCUGGCUGAGACGAGACGACGUUGUCCGUGUCCAUGGGAUCGUCUUCCUGAGGCGCCGGAGAGGUGGCAGAAGUAGCGACCCUGUCGAGUGAGAUCCAGUCGGCCAGUAAACAGAAGUUCACUCGGAUAUCAGAAAAAACCGAAAGCUGGGUACACUUACGUGGAGGUGACAGGGACAGCGACCCUCAUUCGCGGCAGAGCCUUCCGAGGUUUAGGCCCACUCGGUUUGGGCGCCUUAGGAGAUUGGCCCGCAGGCUCAGCGGCGGCAUCCCUGGUCCUCUUAGCGCUUCGAACACUCGGGACCACUGGAGCAGUAGGCGGAGCACUCGAAGACGCGGGAGGAGCUGAGGGGACAGCGGGCUCGUGUCGAUGCUUGGUCCGAUGCUCCAGUUGUGGGGGUGGCGAGUCCUGCUCCUCGUCUUCUUCCUCCUCCUCGCUGGACUCUUCCUCCGACUCCCCACUGUCAGAGACAUAUUCAGCGCUCUCCACGCUGCCUUCCUGGCUGCCCUCCUCCUCGGCCGAAUUCCCGUUCGAGACGGGAGAAAACCAGUUGGUCCACUCCUGCAUAAAAUUCAGUCGGCGACAUCAAACAUCACACAGAGAUUCAAGCAAACGACAAGAUUAAGACAGUUAGGAGCACUCGACAAGAGUCUCUCACUUGAUUCGGCGGGGGAUUAUCCGCGCGGAAGGGCUUCACUCGCCGUGAUCAUUUGGGAUUCUCACAGGGGCCCGUGAUCUGGAGCACCCACGAGGUCACCCUCUCCUCAGUCACGCCCACAACAUUGGUCUGAGUGGAAUCCUCGGGCCCCGUAUAAUGCCACAUGCAUUGGUCGCGAGCCUGCAGAGGUUGGAUCCGCCAACCAAGGAAGACUUCCAGCAGGUCUAUACCGGUGACCCCCCUCCUGACGACGUCCACGAGCGCCUCAACCAAGGGUUGGACGUCAUUCUUCUCCGCCUUCGAGAGCGCAAGCUACUUAGGCGGGGCGGGCCGGUCUAGACUAAAAGGAGGCAGACCAGUCGACGCAUUCGGACAGGCGAUAUCCUGGCAGUAGAACCACGUCGACUGCCAGUUCCUAACCGACUCACUUAACUCGAGAGCAGGAUAGCUACUCUGACUCUUCUUCUGGAAUCCUAAACCCCCACAGAGCUGGAGGAGGUGCGUCUUAUCAUCCGACUGGCUAAGUCGUUUGAUGGUUUGGGAUCGGGCGGAGAAGAUGUGUUUGAACAAACCCCAAUGGGGAGGGCAGCCAAUAAAACACUCACAUAAGACUAUGAAGGCAGAAAGGUGCGCGAUGGCAUUCGGAAGGAAAUGGUGAAGUUGGGCACCGAAGUGAUUCAUGAUGCCCUUGAAGAAAGGGUGCGGGGGCAAAGAAAAACCUCGGUGGACAUGGCUGAGGAGCAGGACGCGCUCCCCCUCCCGGGGCGCUGACUCGACCUCGUCCUCCGCCGGCAGUCUCCAGGACUUGUGCACGAGCACGCUGUGCUCCACCAGCUGCAGCAGAUCUCCCUCUGUCACCGUGGAGGGGAGGAAGUCUCCUUGGAUCCACCCCGCCGGCAGCGGCCGCUGCCGNNNNNNNNNNNNNNNNNNNNNNNNNNNNNNNNNNNNNNNNNNNNNNNNNNNNNNNNNNNNNNNNNNNNNNNNNNNNNNNNNNNNNNNNNNNNNNNNNNNNNNNNNNNNNNNNNNNNNNNNNNNNNNNNNNNNNNNNNNNNNNNNNNNNNNNNNNNNNNNNNNNNNNNNNNNNNNNNNNNNNNNNNNNNNNNNNNNNNNNNNNNNNNNNNNNNNNNNNNNNNNNNNNNNNNNNNNNNNNNNNNNNNNNNNNNNNNNNNNNNNNNNNNNNNNNNGCAAACGACAAGAUUAAGACAGUUAGGAGCACUCGACAAGAGUCUCUCACUUGAUUCGGCGGGGGAUUAUCCGCGCGGAAGGGCUUCACUCGCCGUGAUCAUUUGGGAUUCUCACAGGGGCCCGUGAUCUGGAGCACCCACGAGGUCACCCUCUCCUCAGUCACGCCCACAACAUUGGUCUGAGUGGAAUCCUCGGGCCCCGUAUAAUGCCACAUGCAUUGGUCGCGAGCCUGCAGAGGUUGGAUCCGCCAACCAAGGAAGACUUCCAGCAGGUCUAUACCGGUGACCCCCCUCCUGACGACGUCCACGAGCGCCUCAACCAAGGGUUGGACGUCAUUCUUCUCCGCCUUCGAGAGCGCAAGCUACUUAGGCGGGGCGGGCCGGUCUAGACUAAAAGGAGGCAGACCAGUCGACGCAUUCGGACAGGCGAUAUCCUGGCAGUAGAACCACGUCGACUGCCAGUUCCUAACCGACUCACUUAACUCGAGAGCAGGAUAGCUACUCUGACUCUUCUUCUGGAAUCCUAAACCCCCACAGAGCUGGAGGAGGUGCGUCUUAUCAUCCGACUGGCUAAGUCGUUUGAUGGUUUGGGAUCGGGCGGAGAAGAUGUGUUUGAACAAACCCCAAUGGGGAGGGCAGCCAAUAAAACACUCACAUAAGACUAUGAAGGCAGAAAGGUGCGCGAUGGCAUUCGGAAGGAAAUGGUGAAGUUGGGCACCGAAGUGAUUCAUGAUGCCCUUGAAGAAAGGGUGCGGGGGCAAAGAAAAACCUCGGUGGACAUGGCUGAGGAGCAGGACGCGCUCCCCCUCCCGGGGCGCUGACUCGACCUCGUCCUCCGCCGGCAGUCUCCAGGACUUGUGCACGAGCACGCUGUGCUCCACCAGCUGCAGCAGAUCUCCCUCUGUCACCGUGGAGGGGAGGAAGUCUCCUUGGAUCCACCCCGCCGGCAGCGGCCGCUGCCGCCGCUGAGCAGGCGCCGCCGCUGAGCAGGCGCCGCCGCUGAGCAGGCGCCGCCGCCUUGCGCUUCUUCUUCCUCGCCUCCAUCUUGCUGGUCUGACCCUUGGUCAUGGAGGCGACGGCGAACACUCGAGAGGAAGGAGAAGGAGGGAGUGUUGGAGCACUGGAGGUGGCGAGGAAGAUGGAGCAGGCGAGAGCGAAAGAUUCGGCGAGCGUAACGAAGAAGCCUCGCCGCCCAGAUUUAAAUAGGGUUCCGACUGGGUCACUGGCGGGUGGCCCCGAAACCUUAUCCGCCCGGCCGGCCGCGGCGAUAUCAGUGGAGGACUUGAAGGCGCGAGAAUCGAGGCGUCAUGCGCUACUCGAGUGCUCUGACGUCGUCCCCGCUGAGUGUGCGGAACCCGAAAUUUGAGAUCCCGGAAAAUCCGCCGCUGUCAGUUGACCGGUCGCGUAAAAAGAUGCCGCGAAAACACUCCGCUCCUGACAGUCGGUUUCGCAAGCACUUCCACUCGGAUCGUUGGUCAGAAAAGGUAAAAUGGAUAGAGGCAAGCAACGCCCAAGCCGAAUCUAAUCCAGUCGGAUCCGAACUUCAAGCACCGCUUCGUCGUUUCAAGCCCAAUCCAUUCGGGGACUAAUGAUGGGGUCAUAGUCCCAGGGUAGGGUCAUAGGCCUGCCAUACAGGUCCUACCCAAGGACUACCCCACGCAAAGGACAAGACCCUAAGUCUACCCCGACUGAAUUAAGGAAUCCCCAUUAUCCAGUCGGCAACAGGUCCUAUAUCAUCCAGUCGGAUACUAGCAUUCGGAGAAUACCAAGCUAACCGACUAGAUACACUCGGUACAUCGUAACCUCCCUGGAAGGAAACGGUCGUACGUUUUCGGGUGCAUUUAUUAGCAUUUAGGGCAUACGUUACCUGUAACGUAUGCAUUCAAUCCCCACUACUCCGCCCUUAUACCAGAACCGUUGUGGAGGGCAGCGUACUCUAUAUAAGCCGCCCUCCCCCACUGGUAGAAGGGUUAGAAAAUCAUUCUAUUCCAUAUUACACUCGGUAACAAGCUCCGAGAGCACUGAGACGUAGGGUUGUUACCUCCACCACAGAGCGGCCUGAACUCAUACAACCUCGCCGUAGCUAGGACUCUGCCCAUCUCAUUCGUACCCUACACAUCUACUGUCAGGCUUAUACCCACGACAGCGCCUUCCAAACUCUGGGGUGCCAGGGCUGACAGUGAUGACCCGGCGGAACAUGAGCUGCCACCAUUAUCAUCGGUGGAGUCACCGAGAGGUGGUAGCACGCCUAUAUCGUGGACACAAGGUACUACUGCGAGGCAUGGCAUAGUAGGAGUGGACUCACCACCACUGGUUGACCAGGGAGCUGCCGUUUCCGUCGGGACACGGUUUGCAGGUCCGCGUUCAGCUGCAUCUCCGGUUGCUUCUGGAGUCGAUGCAGAUCUACUCGCAGUGACGGGUGUGCUCAUGCCCAGCUUACUGCAGGCAGCCAGGGUAGGCAGCAGCGGUACUUCAUCUGCUAUGGUGCUCUCUUCCGUGAGCCCGCUGCAGCACCCGGCUAGGGCUGCGCUGUCAGCAGAUGGUGGGAGGGCACGGGAUGGGUUAGUUAAACCGACUGGCCUCACCAUGACACAGACUGAUGGUGGCGUUUCGGAUGGCCAGACUAGGCUCAUGAGAGGAGGUCAUAGCACGCCGGGGCCCUCCACUCAGGACCCGACAACACAGGCUUGGCGAUCGAGUGCCCUUCUGCAAGCCCAACCAGAUGUUCACGAGGUGCAGUUGGGCCGUGCUAUGCGCGCGGCUAAGCUUCGCAACAUCGAGAUUUCUUCACGUAUGUCUAUUGAUGAGAGUUGUUCCAUCUUGCAUUUCUCUGAAGAUGAUAUAAUUAGAAACGCCACCGAGGUUGGGGUAUCUUUGGGUAGUAAUGGGCAGGAGAUAUCUAAAUCGGUAAAUGACUUGUUAGACUUAGAGGCAGAGAGGGCAAUUGAGAUGGUCAGAAAAAUUGCAGUCGUAAAACCUAUGAAUGAUUCUGAUAUAAAUGCAUUGGGUUUGGGAGCCUUAGAGCGUUUAUGUGAGGAUCUUGUGCCAUCCCCUUUGCUUGAAGUCACAAAUGAUAUCGUUUAGGAGGGGUAUGAGGCUCCUUGUGACAGCCCGAUGCCGGCGUUCCACAAGAUUCCCCCUUCUUUUCCGUUUCCGUUGUGUGGCUAUUUUAUUUUGUUGGCUGCAUCAUCAUGUAGUUUGCACCAUGGCAUUAUGCAUGGCAUCAUGUCAUCCGUGUUAGUUGUUGGUGUUGCUUGUUGCUGUGUUGUCGGGUGUUAGUGCUUUGUGAGUGUGACGUCGUUUGUUAGCAUGAUGAGAGUGCGUGCGUGAGAGCCACCGCUAAACCCCGUUUCACCGCGAACCACUCCCCUCCUCUCUUCUCUUUGAUUUUGUUUUGGGGUUGUGUAAAUUUUCCGUUUUAACCCUUUCAAAAAAGCGUCUUCUUUUAAAACCCCUUUUAUUAAAUGUGGGGGCAACCCCUUGGGUUUUCUUUAUUUUCUUCUUUGGUUUUAUUUUAAAACCGUCUCAUUUUCUUUUCUCUUUUAGAAGGGCUUUUAUUUUAUUCUUUAAACAAAAGAGGUUUUAUUUAUUUCUUCAAAAGGGUUUUAAUUUUUAAUUCUUCAAAAGAUUUUAUUUUAUUCGUUUGAGAAAAAAUGCCCAAGCUAUUUUAUGUUUGGGCUUUAAUUUUCAAAGGAGCAAAAGCAUUUUAUUUAUUUUUGUUAAACGUAUUCCUUUUGCUAAAGCUUUCUAUUUUUUUUUCAAAGUAAAAAAAAUCAAAGGAGGGAGAGAGGAGCCCAGCCCAGCCUUUGAGCCUGCCAAGGCCCAAGGCCCCUAUUAAUCUAGCGCCAGGGGAGAGCUUCGCUCGAAUCCCUCCUGCGCCGCCGAGCCCGACCUCCUCCGGUUCCUCCCUCCUCCCGAUCCCGCGCAUCCCCUCGCCCCAGUGUUUGUUCUUCCGUCGCCUCCAAGCCGAGCAGCUCCCUGCGCUACGCCCGCCGUGGACACCAGCCCCGAGCGCAGCAGCUCCCUGCGCUAGCUCCCUGCCACGCCGCCUCCAGUCGCGCUCGACCUCGCCCGUGCGCUGCCCUGCAUGCCGGUGGCCAGCCCCGCCGCCGCAGCGUCCGUGCUCCCCUCGACACCCUGGUCNNNNNNNNNNNNNNNNNNNNNNNNNNNNNNNNNNNNNNNNNNNNNNNNNNNNNNNNNNNNNNNNNNNNNNNNNNNNNNNNNNNNNNNNNNNNNNNNNNNNNNNNNNNNNNNNNGCUUUCCUCGAGCCCUCCUCCCCAACCAUGGCGCUUGACGCCUCCCGCGCCCCGCCAUGGACUACCCCGCGCCGCUAGCAUCCAGGCUGCCGUGCUCGUCAUAGGCUCGCCCUGCAGCGCUGCCGUCCGGCCCGACCUCGCCUCUUGCCGUGCUCGCCUGUGCUGCCGCUGCCAAGCUAGCUGUUGCGUUUUGCUGCUACUGCCUGAAGGUUGCUGCUGCCCUAUUGCCUAUAGCUGCGGCGUUGCUUGCUGCUGUGGCUAUGCCCGCUUGCUUGCCUUGCCAAUAGUUGCUGCCGUGUAGCUGCGUUGGUGGCUGAUGGCUAGCUUGCUGCUGCCCAUGCCGCUACUGCAUUUGCUGUUGCUGGAUGCUUAUGAUGUCGUGCUUGCCAUGUCGUUGCUGCCUAGCUGCUUGCUGUUGCCAUGUGCCGCUGUGUUUGCGUGUAGGUGCAUGGUGUUGCCGAGAGUUGCUGUUACGCUUGCCUGCCGUGGCCGAAGCUGCUAUGCAUGCUGUUGCUAUUGCCUGAUGGUUGCUUGCUUGCUGCUAGGUAGUUUUUGCUGCUGCUUGCUAGUUGUAGCUGCUGCUUGCCUUGCUAGUUAGGCUAGGUGAUGCUAGCUUGCUCUUGCUGGCCGUUGCUUAGAUGAUGUUGUUGUGGCUGUCCCGUGCUGUCCCCGACGUACUACUGCGUUUUGCUGCUGUUGCUAUGUCGCCUUGAUGCUAGUUGUUGUUGCUGCUAUGCAUGCCACUUAGCUAGAUGCCUUGCUUUGCUUUUGCUGUUGCGUUUUGCUGGCGCUAGAUAGAUGAUGUUGGAUUAGCUUGCUUGUUGCUAUUAGUUGCUGAUGGAUGCUUGGCAUGCUUGUUGUAGAUGCAAAGCUAAUGUUGAUGUUGCUAGCUGUAGUGCUAGUUGCCAUAGCUUGCCACUAGAUAGAUGCUAGGAUGUCGGUUGUUGCAUGAUAGUUUGCCAUGCUGUUGGUUGCCUGCUGCCGCUUUGCUGCGUGCGUCGCGUUGCUGUUUGCUGUCACUGGUUACGUCGCCGCGUGCACCAUCCCCCCCCCCCACCUUGGAAUCAACAAGUUCGCCGCGAGAACCACGUCGUCCUCGACGACUCCGGGAAAACGUGUUCGACUCCCGACGCCGAAGAUCGUCUACUGACGCAAGAGAACGACUACCGUCGACGAGACCGUGUACGACUACUUCCAUGGCGUUCACUACGACCCGAUCCCCUCCGAUUCGCACGCGUUGAAGGUAUAACGAUGAGACAUGUCAUGUACCGAAUGCAUGUAGUAUGAGAUGAAUGUAUGUUUGUGCAGUAUAUUAGCCCGUUGCAUGUUGUCUUCUUUCCGUCGCGCCUCUACACAUGGGAACCCGGUAACCGGGAUCACCCCAUCUUUAUUUAGCGUUCCCGCACACGCUCCCUAUUCGUUGGCACGUUAUCUCGAUGAAUUAUCGGGAUAGGAACAUUGCUGUGGCAUCGUUUCCGUUCUUGCCGCCAUGGUUCCCUCUCGCUCGCCGUGGCGGCACCUGCUUCUUUUCCUUCUUGCCCGUGGUUGAAAUUGCAUGCAUAACGCAUUCAUGGCAUAUAAUCUUGUGUUGCAUGUCUCUUGUGCCGUAGCUCCGUUCUAAGUCCCGCGUGCUAUCGACUAGUAUGUAAGGUAGAAUCAUCGCUUCACCCUUGCCAUGUUAACAACAAUUUAAUAUUGUCGUGUAAAUAACUGGGAGUGAACUAAAUAAAUAAUCAUGGAGUUUCGUCGAUAUGCAACCCGUUGCAUAUCGAGCUUCACUUAAUGUGUAGUGUUUGCGUGAGGUGAAUUGCCACGCCAUCCCUUGCAUCUUCGAACUGAUCAUGCAUCAUAGUAGGUUAUGCAUCAUGUUGUGCAUCGUGUGGUGAAUAUCUGUGUUGAUGUUUGUUUCCGGUUUGCUCCGUUCCGAUAGAGUUCCGCAAUCGUGUCGGAAUGUGAGGACCCGUUCGACUACGUUGGUUCGCCGACUUCACGGAGUCAUUCUUCUUCCAAGCGGGAUCUCAGGCAAGAUGACCAUUUCCCCAGAUACCAUUACUAUCAUUGCCAUGCUAGUUUUAUCGCUUCUAUCGAUUAUGUCUCGUUGCCUACCACAUUUUAAAUAUCAGCCUCUCAACAAUGCCAUGAUAACCUUCAACUGUUCAACCUAGCAAACCACUGUUUGGCUAUGUUACUGCUUGCUUAACCCUGUUGUUAGUGUUGCUAGUUGCAGGUGUAGUUGCUUCCAUGUGAUAACAUGGGUCCCUUGUCAUAUCACCAUAUAUUAAAUGAUGUUUAAUUUAAUGGACCUAUAUACUUGGUAAAAGGUGGAAGGCUCGGCCUUUCUAGCCUGGUGUUUUGUUCCACCUUUGCCCCCUUAGUUUCGGCUACCAGUGUUAUGUUCCAUAAAUGAGCGCUCCUAACAUGAUCGGGGUUGUUAUGGGGACCCCCUUGAUAAUUCGUUUUAGAUUAAAGCUGUUCUGGCAAGGCCAACUUUGGUACUACAUUUGCCUAAUAACUAAUGAACUGCAUAGGGAGUAAUUAACCCGAGGAUAAUUUAAUCAACCCCCGGGCUAGUGCUCCUCAUGAGUGUUGGUCCAAAUUGGCAGACUACGGGGCCACCGCGGGGCAACCCGAGGUUUGGUUUUUCCUAGUGUGACCCAUCCGUCGUUUCCUGAGAACGAGGUACGCGACUCCUAUCGGGAUCGUCGACACGUCGGGUGGCCUUGCUGGAUUAGUUUUACCUUUGACGGAAUAUCUUGUGCAUCGGGAUUCCGGUGAUGCUUUGGGUAAUUUGAGAGUUGAGGUUUUCCACUAGGGAAUCCGACAAGAUCGCGAGCUUCGUGAUUGAGGAUUUCUAUGCGGCUUGUGGUAAUUUGUGAUGGACUAGUUGGAGCACCACUGCAGGGUUAAAUCUUUUCGGAAAGUCGUGCCCGCGGUUAUGUGGCAACGUGGAAACUUUGUUUAACACUGGUUCUAGAUAACUUGAAGUUAACUUAAUUAAAACUUGCCAACUGUGUGCGUAACCCUGACUGUCUCUUUCGUGAGUUCCUUCUCCGAUCGAGGACACGGUGGGGUUAUGUCUGACGUAGGUAGGUGUUCAGGGUCAUUCAUUUGAUCAACAGUAGUCACGUCCGUUAUGCGUAGAUCAUCCCCCUCUUUAUUCUUGUACUCGUAAGUUUAGCCACCAAAUAUAUGCUUAGCCGCUGCUGCAACCUCACCACUUAGCCUUACCUCACCCAUUAAGCUUUGCUAGUCUUGAUACCUUUGGAAAUGAGAUUGCUGAGUCCCCUGUGGCUCACAGAUUACUACAACACCAGUUGCAGGUACAGGUAAAGGUUACUUGACGCGAGCGCGUUGAUUGUUCAUUUGGAGUUGCUUCUUCUUCUUCAUCAUCGAUCUAGGAUGGGUUCCAGGCCGGCAGCCUGGGAUAGAAGGAUGGACGUCGUUCUUCUUUUGUCGUUUGUUUUCGUCCGUAGUCGGACCCUGCUCUUACUCUUGAUGAAUAUGUAAUGUACUGAUGUGACUCUGAUGUUUCUUGUGGCGAGUGUAAGCCAAC